UGGGGAAUUGUUCGCAAUGGGCGCAAGCCUGACGACGCAACGCCGCGUGGAGGAUGAAGAUCUUCGGGUCGUAAACUCCUUUCGAUCGAGACGAACGGCUUCCGGGUGAACAAUCCGGGAGAGUGACGGUACCGAGAGAAGAAGCCCCGGCUAACUCCGUGCCAGCAGCCGCGGUAAUACGGGGGGGGCAAGCGUUGUUCGGAAUUACUGGGCGUAAAGGGCUCGUAGGUGGCCAACUAAGUCAGACGUGAAAUCCCUCGGCUUAACCGGGGAACUGCGUCUGAUACUGGAUGGCUUGAGUUUGGGAGAGGGACGCGGAAUUCCAGGUGUAGCGGUGAAAUGCGUAGAUAUCUGGAGGAACACCGGUGGCGAAGGCGGCGUCCUGGACCAACACUGACACUGAUGAGCGAAAGCCAGGGGAGCAAACG
rnacentral:rRNA from 1 species